UUCUAGGGUUACAUUGGGAAUUAAUUAGGGAUUUUAUUACAAAAUAGUUGCGGCGAAAGUUUAACCGUAUAAAUCUUAGAAGCGGGUCAAAUUUCUUUGAACUGUUAGGGGAAAAUGUGGUCAUCUAUUAUGAGACGUGGAACAGAAGUUCCGCCUUUUGAAUACCUGAAGGCAGGUAGUCUGAGGUUAAAGCUGCUCAAUAAAGGAGAAACAAUAAGUAGCUCAACGAGAAAGAGUGCAGAGACUUGAUGGAAAGGUAACAAACGACCCCUGUUCGCAAAUUUAAGACAGCUGGUUUCAGCUGGUUUGUAUGAAGAAAGAAAAGAAAUGAUUGACUGAGACUCGGAAUUUGAGAAGAUAGUUAAUACCAGGAAACGACCUUUAAAGAGAGCCUUUAAUGAACUGUCUUACGGUGUUUGAGAGAAGCACUAUAAAACAACAUAUGAUAUUGAGCUACAUCAGGAGAUGACCAAAGCCUAGGUCAAAAAGAUGCCUACACAAACUACAUCAACGCCCCUAUCCUUGGGAUGUGGAAAGGAGCCAAAGAUGCAGGUCGCAGCCAAUUUGACUCAGUCUGUGUUUCUACAGCAGUUUAUCCUUGAUGUAACUCAGCUCCGUGGAGGACAGAUGGACCCAAAAGAAAUGAAUUGAGACAUGAGAAAAUGGAAUCUGUAAAUGUCACUCCAGAUAUUUAAAAUAAAA